rnacentral:tRNA from 1 species
UUCUUACUAGUAUAAUUUAGUAUACUUGACUUCCAAUCAAGUGGUUUCUCAAUAUAAAGAGGAGUAAGAAA